rnacentral:lncRNA from 1 species
GAAAAUGGAAAUACGAGCAACCAGGAACCAAAGCAUUAUGCUCUCUAUAUCCUUAUUUUCUCCAGAGAUUGCCUGAAAACUUUAGGAUUUUUCAUGGCUCAGUGGAGAAGAGCCAUGAAGAUCAAAAUAGGCCCACCAUGGGUAGCAUAGGAUUUAUCAUGGCUCAAUGGAGAAGAGCCAUCAAGAUCAAAAUAGGCCCACCAUGGGUAGCAUAGGAUUUUUCAUGGCUCAAUGGAGAAGAGCCAUCAAGAUCAAAAUAGGCCCACCAUGGGUAGCCAUGGGUCUUCCUACAUAUUUGCACAAGUACCUUUGAGAAGUUGGUAUCUGCAUGCAUAUCCUAGAAAACCAUUAUUUGUUUGCAUUUAUACACCUGUCAGAAUUAAAUGUGCCAAAGUCAUUUCCGAUAGA